UUGCACUUAAUAUAACCAUAUGACUAUAUAUCAGUUCAAUCCAAAGGAACAUAAAGCUAACCAUCCGAUGAUUACAACAUAUUUCUUUUACUCCAAGACAUUCAAGACAAUACUUUUCAUUGCAACAAUCUGAAACAGUGUUUAAGGCAAAGAGAGGGGACGGGGGUUGGUUGCAUCUGAAGGAGGCUGAUGGCAACCAGGUUCACAAAUGCAUUCUUUCCUAGUCCUAAAGCAACGUUCUUGCUCCAGUGCACAACAGAAGCACAAACCAUUGGGGCAUGGUGGAUCUUUCUGUGGGCAUAUGCAUAACUCGAUCUUGCCGCUAUCCACCUGAUCAGUUGCUUGAGCUGCAUAUGCAAACAAGUAUGUUCUCAUUCAAUUAGGUAUUACGAAGAAUUAUACUCCCUCCUAUCCAUAUUACUUGUCGCUCAAGUAGAUGUAUCUAGCACUGAGAUACAUCUAGAUACAUCCAUUUUAGCGACAACUAAUAAGGAUCGGAGGGAGUAUAAAAUUUCAAAAUAACUUAGUAAUGGUUCUCAAUGGAAUUAACCAAAAGUAUAUAAAUCUAACGAAUAUCUUUGCGUGAAGUUCAACUAAUUGUUGUUUGGUACUCACCCUGAGAAAAUAUUAUGAAGCACAGAAGGAUAACCAUCACAAGCGUAAUCCCAAUCACCUUGCUUCUCUCCAUGGUAAUAUAAGCUUUCUCCUUUCUAAUAUGAAUAUGAAUAGUCUUUGUUUGUAAGGAUUUUUUUCAUAUGGCUG
rnacentral:lncRNA from 1 species